GGAUUAGCGGCGAACGGGUGAGGAACACGUGAAGAAUCUGCCUUCAACUCUGGGAUAACUCCGGGAAACCGGGGCUAAUACCGAAUAUUGAAACAUAAGUGGCAUCACUGAGUUUUGAAAGAAUUUCGGUGGAGGAUGACUUCGCGGCCUAUCAGCUAGUUGGUGAGGUAAUGGCUCACCAAGGCAACGACGGGUAGCCGGCCUGAGAGGGCGACCGGCCACACUGGGACUGAGACACGGCCCAGACUCC
rnacentral:rRNA from 1 species